AGAGUUUGAUCAUGGCUCAGGACGAACGCUGGCGGCGUGCUUAACACAUGCAAGUCAAGGGGGCCCGCAAGGGCAACCGGCGAACGGGUGCGUAACACGUGAGCAAGCUACCGAUUUGUGGGGGAUAGCCGGCCCAACGGCCGGGUAAUACCGCAUACGUUCACUAGGCGGCAUCGUCUGGUGAGGAAACCUCCGGGGCAAAUCGAGGCGCUCGCGGCCUAUCAGCUAGUUGGCGGGGUAACGGCCCACCAAGGCAUUGACGGGUAGCUGGUCUGAGAGGAUGGCCAGCCACAUUGGGACUGCGACACGGCCCAGACUCCUACGGGAGGCAGCAGUGGGGAAUAUUGCGCAAUGGACGAAAGUCUGACGCAGCGACGCCGCGUGUGGGAUGAAGCCUUUCGGGGUGUAAACCACUGUUGCCCGGGACGAAAUGCCCUUUCGAGGGAAUUGACGGUACCGGGUGAGGAAGCACCGGCUAACUCUGUGCCAGCAGCCGCGGUAAUACAGAGGGUGCGAGCGUUGUCCGGAAUCACUGGGCGUAAAGGGCGCGUAGGUGGCUUGGUAAGCGUGUGGUGAAAGUCCGGGGCUCAACCCCGGAUCUGCCGUGCGAACUGCUGAGCUUGAGCACUGUAGAGGCAGGUGGAAUUUCGGGUGUAGCGGUGGAAUGCGUAGAUAUCCGAAAGAACACCAGUGGCGAAGG
rnacentral:rRNA from 1 species